UGGACAGCUGUCACGUCACAAAAUGAAGAGUAUUUUAAACAGCUCAUUCAUGGGAAUGGGAUAAUGGUGAAAAAUAGAUUAAUGGAAAAAGACUGCUGGUCACAAGGAAAUUAUAAUCCAU